AAAGCGCAGCCUGAGGGAAAAACGAAAUUGUUUGCCUGGCUUAUGGUCAGAACCCGAAUUAAACUCCAAGGUUGACAUUGCCUAUUCAGCAGCUACAGGUUCUUUAUCAGCGCAGACAGAACUUACCUCCUGACAAACAUAUCAAUGAGAGGUCAAGCAAAGAGACAAGGAAUGUUCCAUACCGAUCUACAGGUACAAGAUAGUACUCCUAUGAAAUGAAGACCUGUGAGUCCUGGAGAUCUACAAAAGAUAAAUCAAAACAAGCUCUAAGAAGAAAUAAGAUAAGGUGCAGAAACCUUUGAAUAGUGAUGGCAGCCUUGGGAAUGGCAAUUUCAACGAGACUGAUGAUUCUGCUGCAAGAAAAAGGGGUAGGCAUGGGGGAUCUUCUCUUGAUGGGAAAAAGCACAAGCGCUUGAAGUAUCCUAAUAUUGAUGCAAAUCCCAUGAAUUUGACCAAAGAUGUAAGAGGAAAUGUUUACCACAACAUGGUGAUGUCUCGUCCUGAAUGCACUGAAACUAAUGAAAAGCCACCAAUUUUGCAAAGAAACAGCACUGAGAAAUCAUCUCCAAAAAAGGUGCUUCAGAGAGAGCAUUCUGAUUGGGUGAACUUCGUGAGUGUCCUUGGGAAAAUGACAACAGGAGCACAAGGAAACAAUUUGAAAGAAAUGGUUCUUCUAAGUUUCUUGAUGAUAUAAAGCAACUAAUGUAGAUAAUUUCUACCCCAGUGUGAAUACCAGGAAGGUUGCUCUAUCUGCUUCCCAUGAUCAGAGGAAACCAUCCCCGCAAGAAUUUAAUACUGGAGGUAAUAUAAACCAGGAAGGAUUCCCAAGGAAGACCGCCGGAAACAACUUUGAUAAUAAUAGGUCUCAGCAGAGGAAAUGUUUCACAGGGUCGGCAAUUGCCAAGGACUGAUGAUUGAGAUUCAGAGAAUGUAUUACAUCCAGAUAGGUCGAUAGGGAAAACAGGCAGAAGAGAAACAAAAAUGGCACAGGAUUGAAUGCUAGAUCAUGUAGAUCCGAAGAAGAUUACUACCAAGCUUCCUCGGAAAGUCCGAAUGGUACCAAGAAUGGCAUUGAGUCUAGAACACGGAAAUCAAUUUCCCCUGCAGAAAAUGAGGAAAGAAGUAGGAAUAACUCUUUGAUAGAGACUGGGAAAGGUGGGAAGAGAAGAGACAGUUCUUCGGAACAAGACAAUCUAUUCUUUAAAAAGUACGAUAAAGCUAAGCCAGAGCUGAAAGGUCCAAUAGAAGAUUUCUCACAGUCUUUAGCCACUCCACGUUUAUCCUCCAAACAAAACUGCUACCUGUCCCGAACAGACGUUGUUCCUCGUGGCCGACCCCACGACUCCCUCCCCGUCCUCGCUAUGCCACAUCGCCUCCCUCCCCGCUGCCGCUACGACAUGGGGUUUGAUAUAUCGAGAUCAAGAGGAAGCGGGUGACCCCUGGAGAGAGCAGUCGGGCGGUGGUGGCGCCUCGGGAGGACGAGCGCGACGGCGGUUUGAGGAAGCUCGUGUCUUUUUACACCACCCCUGACCCCUCCCCUACACGCACCCGCAGCGUAUCCCCAUCGCUCCGGGAGGUCGACGACGGGCUCCUCCGGCAAGCACGGGGCGUUGAUGGUCUCUUUCGGGCAUGGUCGGAUCUGCGUGUCGGCAGCUGCAGGAAGGCAAGGAUCUGGCCGUGCUCCACGACCACCACAACCAAGGCAGGGAGCGCUGCUCCGACCUCCUCUCUUAUGGCUUCAAGUCUGACGAUGCCCACGACCAGGCGUGCUCCCCUCCAAGGAUAGAAAGGCA